CAGGGAGCAUCAAGUCACACCAUUCCUGUGUGCCUCAGCCAGGAAGCUAGGGAUACACCUGCCAGACUGGAAAGGCUCUCUGACAGCUUCCUUCCUGGUAAAGGUCCAGAGUCUCUUUCACUUUUGAAGAACAGUUCCCUAGCUGAGGGACCUUAUUCAAGGACACACACUGCAGUGAACCCCGUGCAAGAGUAGGGUGAGUAGUGGGAUCCAGAUUCCAUCACACCACUUAGUUAUGGGAAGGGCUGGCCUCACUCCACUAAGGAGUAUUGUGGCAGACACGGGGACCUUGUCCUGAAAACCCAGGGCCCAAGACCCCACCCUCUGCUUGGGGACUCUGCAGGCCAGCUCUGGUGGUUGAUAGACUGCUGGAUUCACCUGUCUGGUUCAUGUGACUUCUCCUGUCAUAGCCUAUCCUGCACCCUCCUAUCUGCACUGAAUAUGCAGGAAUAAGGGAAUGAUGAGGUAUUCAGAGGUCAGAUAGGGCAUGAGAUAUAUAUUAAGUAUUAUCUAUGCUAUUUGUAGGGAGUGGUGUGGGACAGCCAAGGUCUCCAGAGAACUAAGUUACACAAAGUUAGUGAAGACAAGAUGGAAUACCUCAAAACAGUUGCCUUGGGAUUGAAAACCACAGCCCUCUAACUUGGCUCCUUCCCUUGAUCUCUCCAUUUCUACUUAUCCUCAUACAUCAUUUUUACCCUGCCCUUUAAAAGUUAUAUAUGAGGUCCUCCUGGAUCCAAUCACUGCCAUUACUCACUCCACAUUAGGACAAUGGCUGCCCUGGCUAGGGCCCUACUGGUUCCUCUUUCCUCCAUCUCAUUAUAUAGUUCACAACCUCCUGUCUAAUAACAGUUUUCAGAGGUUUCACCAAAGUAAAUGGCAGCAAUCACAUGACUGAUCCGGCAGAGCAGAUCAAGUUAAAAAUCUCUUUCUAGCACAUGAAGUCCACCCACAAUUCACACACCCCUAACCUCUAGGCUCAGGAUGCAGCUCCACCUCCACCAUCCCCCUCCACAGGAAACAAUCAGUAAGAAUGCACACACCCCACCCUAACCUCUAGGCACAGGAUGCAGCUCCACUUCCACCAUCCCCCUCCCACAGGAAACAGUCAGUAAGAGUGCACACACCCC